UUAGAAGCUAUUAAGAGCUAACGGGGGAUGCCUAGGGUGACAGAGGCGAUGAAGGACGUACUAGACUGCGAUAAGCUACGGGGAGUUGUCAAGAAACAUUGAUCCGUAGAUUUCCGAAUGGGGCAACCCAAUAUACAGAGAUGUAUAUUACCACAAUGUGGAGCGAACGCAGGGAAGUGAAACAUCUCAGUACCUGUAGGAGUAGAAAUCAAAUCAGAGAUUCCCAAAGUAGUGGCGAGCGAAAUGGGAAGAGGGCAAACCGAUGGUUUACCAUCGGGGUUGUAGGGCUUUCAAUAUAGUAUCUCAAUAGUUAAUAGAACUACUUGGAAAGGUAGAGCAAAGAGGGUGAUACUCCCGUAUAUAAAAACUAAAGAGAACUUAGAGAGUACCUGAGUAGGUCGGGGCACGUGAAACCUUGACUGAAGCUGGGAGGACCAUCUCCCAACCCUAAAUACUACUGUUACACCGAUAGCGAACAAGUACCGUGAGGGAAAGGUGAAAAGAACCCAAGUGAUGGGAGUGAAAUAGAACCUGAAACCGUUAGCUUACAAUCAUUCGGAGCACUAUAGUUUACUAGUGUGACGGACUGCCUUUUGCAUAAUGAGCCUGCGAGUUGUGGUUACUGGCGAGGUUAAGCGUAAGCGGAGCCGUAGCGAAAGCGAGUCUGAAUAGGGCGAAUUAGUCAGUGGCUGCAGACCCGAAGCGAAGUGAUCUAUCCAUGAGCAAGUUGAAGCGGGUGUAAAAGCCCGUGGAGGACUGAACUGGUACCCAUUGAAACGGGUUCGGAUGACUUGUGGAUAGGGGUGAAAGGCCAAUCAAACUUCGUUAUAGCUGGUUCUCUCCGAAAUAUAUUUAGGUAUAGCCUCUAAAAGUAGCACAUAGGGGUAGAGCACUGAUUAGGCUAGGGCGGCCCACAGCUGUACCAAACCUUGUCAAACUCCGAAUACUAUGUGUGUAAUUUAGGGAGUCAGGCGGUGGGUGAUAAAAUCAAUCGUCAAGAGGGGAACAACCCAGACUACCGACUAAGGUCCCAAAGUAUGUCUCAGUGGAAAAGGAUGUGGGGUUGCUUUGACAACCAGGAUGUUGGCUUAGAAGCAGCCACCAUUUAAAGAAAGCGUAACAGCUCACUGGUCUAGCGACUCUGCGCCGAAAAUAUAACGGGGCUAAGGCAUACACCGAAGUCGUAGAUUCUACCUGGAGGUAGAGUGGUAGGAGAGCGUUCUGUAGGCGUUGAAGGUAUACCGGUAAGGAGUGCUGGAGCGUACAGAAGUGAGCAUGCAGGCAUGAGUAGCGAUAAAAGCAGUGAGAAUCUGCUUCGCCGUAAGCCCAAGGUUUCCUACGCGAUGUUCGUCAGCGUAGGGUUAGUCAGGUCCUAAGCCGAGUCCGAAAGGGGUAGGUGAUGGCAAAUCGGUUAAUAUUCCGAUACCUGUUAAUAUUGAGGUGAUGGGAGGACGCUUAGGGUUAGACAAGGUCACUGAUGGAAUAGUGGCUCUAAGGGUGUAGGUUGGCAGAUAGGCAAAUCCAUCUGUCAAGACCGAGACCUAAAAGGCUGAACAAGCUCUUCGGAGUGCGUUUAGAAUUGUUGAUACCGUCGAGCCGAGAAAAGUCUCUAAACCGUUUGAAAUAUUUACAGCCUGUACCGCAAACCGACACAGGUGGGCGAGAUGAGUAUUCUAAGGCGUGUGGAAGAACCCUGGUUAAGGAACUCUGCAAACUAACACCGUAUCUUCGGUAUAAGGUGUGCCUAUUGUAUGUGAAGAGAUUUACUCUUGGAGCAGAAGUAGGUCGCAGCAAAGAGUCCCUCCCGACUGUUUACCAAAAACACAGCACUUUGCAAACACGAAAGUGGAAGUAUAAGGUGUGACGCCUGCCCGGUGCUGGAAUGUUAAAGGGAUUAGUUAGAGCAAUCGAAGCUAUGAACUGAAGCACCAGUAAACGGCGGCCGUAACUAUAACGGUCCUAAGGUAGCGAAAUUCCUUGUCGGUUAAAUACUGACCUGCAUGAAUGGCGUAACGAGAUGGGAGCUG
rnacentral:rRNA from 2 species